rnacentral:rRNA from 1 species
AGUGAACGCUGGCGGUAGGCCUAACACAUGCAAGUCGAACGGCAGCACAGUAAGAGCUUGCUCUUACGGGUGGCGAGUGGCGGACGGGUGAGGAAUACAUCGGAAUCUACUUUUUCGUGGGGGAUAACGUAGGGAAACUUACGCUAAUACCGCAUACGACCUACGGGUGAAAGCAGGGGAUCUUCGGACCUUGCGCGAUUGAAUGAGCCGAUGUCGGAUUAGCUAGUUGGCGGGGUAAAGGCCCACCAAGGCGACGAUCCGUAGCUGGUCUGAGAGGAUGGACCGCCCACACGGGAACUGGGACCGGGCCCAGAUCCUGACGGAAGGAAGAGGUGGGGAAUAUUGGCAAAGGGGGGCAAGCUUGAUCAAGCCAUACGGGGUGGGGGAAGAAGGCUUCCGGGUUGUAAAGCCCUUUUGUGGGGAAAGAAAAGCAGCAGGUUAAUACCCCGCUGUUUGGACGGAACCAAAAGAAUAAGCACCGGCUACUUCCGU